AGUCUAGUGUCACGAAUCAUAGGAAGAGUACGUAGUCUAGUUACACAUAUUUAAUUUUGUGGAAUUUGAUAUUUUAAUAUAAUUUGCGUAUUAUUAAUAUUCUUGUUUAUUUAACGUGUGUUUGUUUUAUAUUUUUAAUAAUUAAGUUAUUGUAAGUCUUAUAAGAAUUAGAUAUAAAAUGUUUAAUUUUCAAUUGUUUAAUCUAAUUGAAUAAAGAUAGGUUAUCUAAUUGAAUAAAGAUAGAUUCUAAUCACUCAGAAAUCUUCUAAUAUUUAACGGUUUAGAAUAGGAUAGAUGAUUUUAAUCAAUCAGGAAGCUUUUAAUAUUUAAUGAUUUGAUAAAUUAAUUGCAUAAUCUAUUGUCAGAAAUCUUAGAAAAGGUGGAUCAUUGUGAGAAUUAUAAAUAUUUAGAAAUGAUCUGUAUAAUUUUUAUGUGAUUGAAAUAAAUAAAAUGAGAGAUUCUAGCUAAUCAGAAAACUUUUAAAAUUGAAUUGAUUAGACAAAUCAGUUAUUACAUCAGUCUGAUGUCAAAUAUCAUAAAAAAAAAUACAUUCUUUAAGGAUUGAAUUUAAUUAUGGUCAAAUAAUAUUAUCAUAAUAAUGAUCAAAAUUUUGAUUUCUUCGUAAUUAAUGCACUUUGCAACUUCACCACAGAAGUAUCCCUUACAACGUUAAUUCCAAAGAGGUUACCGGAAUGAAGAGAUCGAGGGGAAUGAAGAACCGAUAGCACUCGUUCCGUGCAGAAGGCCACAGCCACUCAAUUUUUGGGUUAAUACCUUUGCUAGCAUUUGUAUUGCAGCAUUUCAUCCCUUCUGCACGCCUACGUAUUCCCACUCUCAUACCACUGAUUUACAACCCUGGCGUCGAUAUAUAUUCCCCCUCCCUUUGAUUUCGCUCGACGUGCACGAACGAGAGCGAAUCACGUUUCACAAAUACGCGCACCGCGACCCGUUUCGAUUUUAGCUUGAUGCUCGCGCGCGCGGCGAAAGGGCUCUUAGGGGGUGGAUCGGCGUGAGGUAGCAAAUUAGAGAGCACACGCGGGACCAGGCCGACUCGAGAAAUGUUGUAAUGAACGAAACAAGUUUUAUUCGGUUUUCCUUGUUCUCCUGUUUACUUUGUUUCACGAGCCGGUGUCAUCGACGUGCGCUUCACUGCGAAACGUGUCCCCCGAAUCCACGGGUGACACAAUUUCGUUGAAUUCUUUUGAAAAUUGUUUGGAUUUUUUUUUUAUGGAACUAUCGCGUGAUGCGUGUGUACGUGCAAUGAAUUUAUAUACAUCGAAUGUGUAUAAAUUUUAAGAAAAAUUCAAUAAAUUUGUAUCUAAAGAA